rnacentral:sRNA from 1 species
CAACUAGGACAUUGAUUUCAUCUGGUUUAUCUGGUGCUUUGGCUCUGAGUCCCCGCUUUUUGAGUCCCCGCUUUCAAACUUCACCUCCAGCUCUGAGGACAAGCAAAAACUAAGUUUGGGGGAGUUGAUAAGUGUGUAUUUUGCAUGUUUUGAGCAUCCAUUUGUCAUCAUUUUAACAUCAUAUCAUCACUGUUUUAUACCAUUUCUCAUCAUUUGUCAUCACUUUCCAUGUUUAGGAUAGUUUUGCAUGCAUGCUGCAUAUUUGUGUUGAUUUCAGGUGAUUUGGAGCUGUUGACGAGCUGACUGGAAGAAGCAGACCUGAUCAUGUCAAACCACUCGACUCUGAGGUCGAGUAGAAGCUUCAAGACCUCAACAGACCACUCGACCCCCUGGUCGAGUAUGGGACUUCACGAUUUCAUCUCAUCACUCGACCCCCUGGCCGAGUACCACCACGAUUGAUACUCGAUCACUUCACUCGACCCCCAGGUCGAGUGUCUUCAGCUCCACCACCUGACCAUCACUCGAUCACACCACUCUACCUGGAAGUCGAGUAUCACCAUCACCACCACUCGACUACAUACUCGAUGUCGAGCUUCAGAGUCUUUUCCAUUUCGCACUCAACCACACACUCGAGCACAAGGAAGAAAAGAAGACUCCAGCUAUUCACUCGACCUCUCACUCGACCACCUGGGUCGAGUACAGUUCUUAAUCCGUCCCAAUACUGCGUCGUUUUGAGUAUUAGGAUUUCAGAAUAUUUUGCUAUAAGUAGCAUGUACUUUCCAUUUUCGAGA